rnacentral:rRNA from 1 species
AGCGAACGUUUGCGGCGGGCUUAACACAUGCAAGUCGAACGAGAAUCCCUUCGGGGAGGAAAGUGGCGCACGGGUGCGUAACACGUGGAUAACCAACCCAUUGGUUUGGGACAACACCGGGAAACUGGUGCUAAUACCAGAUGUGUCGCAGCUGUCUUCAGGCGGUUGCGAGAAAGGCCCGCAAGGGUCGCCAACGGACGGGUCCGCGUCCCAUCAGCUAGUUGGUGAGGUAAUGGCUCACCAAGGCAAAGACGGGUAGCUGGUCUGAGAGGAUGAUCAGCCACACUGGAACUGAGACACGGUCCAGACUCCUACGGGAGGCAGCAGUGGGGAAUAUUGCGCAAUGGGCGAAAGCCUGACGCAGCCACGCCGCGUGAGCGAUGAAGGUCUUCGGAUCGUAAAGCUCUGUGGGGGGAGAAGAAGAAAGCCGGUGAAGAGCCGGCCCUGACGGUAUCCCCUUAGCAAGCACCGGCUAACUCCGUGCCAGCAGCCGCGGUAAUGU